GCAGACACAUUCCAGCCAAUCAGCAGCAGACCCUCCCUCCCUGACCCUCCCACCUCCUGGACAGCAUCCAUUGUGAAGCUGCAUUCUUAGUGAGCUGUCCAGGAGGUGGGAGGGUCUGGGAGGGAGGGUCUGCUGCUGAUUGGCUGGAAUGUGUCUG